rnacentral:rRNA from 1 species
AUACGUAGGGUGCGAGCGUUGUCCGGAAUUACUGGGCGUAAAGAGCUCGUAGGUGGUUUGUCGCGUCGUCUGUGAAAUUCCGGGGCUUAACUCCGGGCGUGCAGGCGAUACGGGCAUAACUUGAGUACUGUAGGGGAGACUGGAAUUCCUGGGGUAGCGGUGACAUGCGCAGAUAUCAGGAGGAACACCGGAGGCGAAGGCGGGUCUCGGGGCAGUAACUGACGCUGAGGAGCGAAAGCAUGGGUAGCGAGCAGGAUUAGAUACCCUGGUAGUCCAUGCCGUAAACGGUGGGCGCUAGGUGUAGGGGUCUUCCACGACUUCUGUGCCGUAGCUAACGCAUUAAGCGCCCCGCCUGGGGAGUACGGCCGCAAGGCUAAAACUCAAAUGAAUUGACGGGG